UGAGGACGAAAGGCUCCUUCAAAAGGCGGGCGAGGGGCCGGGGGCGGUGGCUCACACCUGUCAUCCCAGCACUUGCGGAGGCCGAGGUGACUGGAACUGAUUUGACAUAACCAUCGUAUGCAUGGAGAAGCUGAGAACAGUAAUCUGCAGAAGCAAAAGUAUGAAACAGCCGGGCAAAGAUGCACAGAGGCUUUACCUUCCUCUGAUAAUUGGCAAAAGGUUCUGAAGCUCCCAGGCCAUCUGGAGUCCUUGUAAACUAGCAUACCUACAGCUGUACAAGCCAUAUUUUGAUAGCCCCCUGUAGCUAAUGGCUACCAUAUUGAACAGCAAAGAUAUACGGUACUUACCCAGCAGUAUAGAAAGCUCAACCGGACAGUGCUACAACAGUUGCAGCCAAAGAAUUCUGUGAUGAUCAGAAGACUGACCACAGCAUCCCUGCAGAACAGAGCCAGACAAACAUCCAGGCAAACAUCCGCCUGCUGGAGGCAGCCUGCCUGGGUGCUGGGAUCAGUCUCAAAUCUAGCACACAAUGGGCCACCCACGCUGGCAUCUUUCCUAUGGUGUCCUUGCCCUGGCAUCUCCUGGUCAUUGAUAGGUCCUGGAAUAAGGUACUGGAAUGUGGCUCAGGUGUCUACUACCUUAUAGAACCAAAGCCUCAAUUCCCUUCCAUUUUCUCAUUCCCCUUGAGAGUUCUGGCAGCUUCUCCUUUAGUCCAACUAACACAGAAGAGAUGCUCUCAUUCAAAUAAUGGAUGGGUUGACUGCCUCUAACUAGUCCGCCCUUCCUUCCUUCCUUCCUUCCUUCCUUCCUUCCU
rnacentral:lncRNA from 1 species